UACGUAGGGUGCAAGCGUUGUCCGGAAUUAUUGGGCGUAAAGAGCUCGUAGGCGGCCUACUAAGUCGGACGUGAAAUCCCUCGGCUCAACCGGGGAACUGCGUCCGAUACUGGUGGGCUCGAAUCCGGGAGAGGGAUGUGGAAUUCCAGGUGUAGCGGUGAAAUGCGUAGAUAUCUGGAGGAACACCGGUGGCGAAGGCGGCAUCCUGGACCGGUAUUGACGCUGAUGCGCGAAAGCCAGGGGAGCAAACGGG
rnacentral:rRNA from 1 species